UACGAAGGGGGCUAGCGUUGUUCGGAUUUACUGGGCGUAAAGCGCACGUAGGCGGAUCGAUCAGUCAAGGGUGAAAUCCCAGAGCUCAACUCUGGAACUGCCUUUGAUACUGUCGAUCUGGAGUAUGGAAGAGGUGAGUGGAAUUCCGAGUGUAGAGGUGAAAUUCGUAGAUAUUCGGAGGAACACCAGUGGCGAAGGCGGCUCACUGGUCCAUUACUGACGCUGAGGUGCGAAAGCGUGGGGAGCAAACAGG
rnacentral:rRNA from 1 species